CUCAUUUACACUGUUCACUGUCCUUUUCUGCGUCUGGUCGCCUACACGCUAAAUACAUUCCUCUCGCUUACACGGAUCAAUCCUACGUCAAAGCACGUGUCAGACUUGAGAAGGGGAUGGUGGGUGGUGUGAGAGGGACACGAGCUGACCCACCAAACAAGAAACCAGGACAGGCGAAUGUCUUUCGUUGAGAUGUCAGGACAUUUUCCAGUCGUGCGCUGCAACAAAACCAGAAAACAGCUGGAACUGGCAAGUCCACUAAAGUUCCUGUCUCUGCUCCGCUCCUCGACUGUUUGGACUCCACUCCCACAGUGAAACGAUAAAGAGGAGAAAGGCGUUAGAAAGAGCGACUGUAAAUGACAGCAAACC